rnacentral:rRNA from 1 species
GGCCUAACACAUGCAAGUCGAACGCCCCGCAAGGGGAGUGGCAGACGGGUGAGUAACGCGUGGGAAUCUACCCAGAUCUUCGGAACAACUGAGGGAAACUUCAGCUAAUACCGGAUACGCCCUACGGGGGAAAGAUUUAUCGGAUCUGGAUGAGCCCGCGUUGGAUUAGCUAGUUGGUGAGGUAAUGGCUCACCAAGGCGACGAUCCAUAGCUGGUCUGAGAGGAUGAUCAGCCACACUGGGACUGAGACACGGCCCAGACUCCUACGGGAGGCAGCAGUGGGGAAUAUUGGACAAUGGGCGAAAGCCUGAUCCAGCCAUGCCGCGUGAGUGAUGAAGGCCUUAGGGUUGUAAAGCUCUUUCAGUAGGGAAGAUAAUGACGGUACCUACAGAAGAAGCCCCGGCUAACUUCGUGCCAGCAGCCGCGGUAAUACGAAGGGGGCUAGCGUUG